rnacentral:rRNA from 1 species
GACGAACGCUGGCGGCGUGCUUAACACAUGCAAGUCGAACGGUAAGGCCCUUCGGGUACGACGAGUGGCGGAACGGGUGAGUAACACGUGGGUGAUCUGCCCUGCACUUCGGGAUAAGCUUGGGAAACUGGGUCUAAUACCGGAUAGGACCACGGUCUGCAUGGAUUGUGGUGGAAAGCUUUUGCGGUGUGGGAUGGGCCCGCGGCCUAUCAGCUUGUUGGUGGGGUGAUGGCCUACCAAGGCGACGACGGGUAGCCGGCCUGAGAGGGUGUCCGGCCACACUGGGACUGAGAUACGGCCCAGACUCCUACGGGAGGCAGCAGUGGGGGAAUAUUGCACAAUGGGCGCAAGCCUGAUGCAGCGACGCCGCGU